UCACCAUCAACAAUGGACUGGAGUGGAGCUAGCUAGAGCUACCUGCUCGAACUCUCGAUCCUCGGAAAAAGCUCAAACUGCGUUCUCAUGUCAAACGUCGUCGUCUUGGACAACGGCGGCGGUCUCAUAAAAGCCGGCUUCGGCGGCGACCUCGAUCCCUCCGUCAUAAUCCCUAACUGCCUCUACCGUCCUCUCUCCGCCAAGAAAUGGCUCCACCCUUCUCCAAUCUCCAUUUCCACCACCACCACCACCGCCGCCGCUGAAGCCUCCUCCGAUCUCGACCUCACAUCGGCCUCCGUCCGCCGCCCCAUAGACCGAGGUUAUCUCAUAAACCCCGACCUGCAGCGUGACAUUUGGUCUCACCUCUUCACCUCUCUUCUUCACGUUAGUCCCUCUAAUUCCUCCCUCCUCUUGACGGAACCUCUCUUCACUCUCCCUUCCAUUCAACGCGCCACCGACGAGCUCAUUUUCGAGGAUUUCAAUUUUGGUUCUCUCUAUGUUUCAGAUUCUCCUUCUUUAGUUCACUUCUAUGAGGCCAGCCGCCGCCCGACGAGCCUCCUAUCUAGGGCACAGUGUAGCCUUGUUGUUGACUGUGGGUUUUCUUUCACUCAUGCGGCUCCAGUGUUCCAGAACUUCACUUUGAACUACGCUGUUAAACGCAUCGACCUGGGAGGGAAGGCAUUGACGAACUAUUUGAAGGAGUUGGUUUCAUAUCGCGCUUUGAAUGUUAUGGAUGAAACCUUCAUCAUAGACGACGUCAAAGAGAAGCUCUGCUUUGUCUCCCUUAACGUCCCCCGCGACCUCCAGAUAGCGAGGAAACCAGGAAAGGAAAAUCUCUUCCGAUGCACAUAUGUGCUCCCUGAUGGGAUUUCGUAUACAAGGGGUUUUGUUAAAAAUCCAGAUGAAGCUAAGAGGUACCUCUCCUUGACUGAUGAAGCCUCAUCUCCAUCACUUGGAGUCAAGAAUGAUGAGACUGAGCUAGAUGUCUCAGAAAAGACUGAAAACAGGAAGAAAAUUGAUCUAACAAAAAAUGAAUUUGAUUUGACGAACGAACGCUUCCUUGUUCCAGAAAUGAUAUUCCAUCCUAUAGAUUUGGGAAUGAACCAGGCCGGCCUAGCGGAGUGCAUUGUUAGAGCUGUUAAUUCUUGCCAUCCUCAUCUGCACCCCGUGCUCUACGAGAGUAUUGUUUUGACUGGUGGAAGCACUUUAUUUCACAAUUUUGCUGAGAGAUUAGAGAAGGAGCUCCGGCCUAUUGUCCCAGAUGAGUGUAAAGUGAAGAUAACAACCCAAGAAGAUCCCAUUUUAGGGGUGUGGAGAGGGGGAUCACUACUGGCAUCAAGUCCUAGUUUUGAAGCAAUGUGUGUUACCAAGGCCGAAUACGAGGAACUCGGAUCUGCCCGGUGUCGGAAGAGAUUUUUACAUUGAGUGCAAGCAUGAAGAGCUUCAUCAAGGUUCCAGCAAGCUUCAGUGGCGGCAUUCAGGCAGAUAAGAAGUAAAACGAAUGAGCAGGCGUUUGUGGGUCAAUUCUAGGCCAUAGCAGGGACCAACGUUCUGAUGAAAAUUAAGUUUUUGUAAGAGGAGGUUGAUGAAAAAUCUUCAUUGGACUGCCUGCAGAGGAUUUACUGGAAUACAGUAAGGAUUUCUGCAUUGGAUUCGUAUUACUUUUUAGUACUGUUCACCUCAAAGUGUUAAUAAAUAUUUGAACUUUUAAUCUUAAGAGACAAAAUAUACGUCAAUGUCUAUGUCAACUACCGUUGAGUUAUACUCCUUAGCUUCUAAAUUUGAUUCUCCUUAGCUUUUAAAUUUGAUUCUCUGACUGAUUAGAGCCGAGCCAAGCUUGCUUUUAACAUGUGUGCUUGAUUCUUGCUUGGGCUUUGGCUUUGGCAUUGUAUUCCAACAUUUGAAUAGAAAAAGUUGUCAGUCAAAAAGUUAUUUACUCU